UACGUAGGUGGCAAGCGUUGUUCGGAUUUACUGGGCGUAAAGGGCGCGUAGGCGGUCGUGACAAGUCACUUGUGAAAUCUCCGGGCUUAACUCGGAACGGUCAAGUGAUACUGUCGGACUAGAGUACAGAAGGGGCAACUGGAAUUCUCGGUGUAGCGGUGAAAUGCGUAGAUAUCGAGAGGAACACCUGCGGCGAAGGCGGGUUGCUGGGCUGAUACUGACGCUGAUGCGCGAAAGCCAGGGGAGCGAACGGG
rnacentral:rRNA from 1 species